rnacentral:rRNA from 1 species
GAUGAACGCUGACAGAAUGCUUAACACAUGCAAGUCAACUGUGGCGGACGGGUGAGUAACGCGUAAAGAACUUGCCUCACAGAUAGGGACAACAUUUGGAAACGAAUGCUAAUACCUGAUACUGUGAGAGAGCUUUGCGUCCCAUUAGCUAGUUGGAGAGGUAACGGCUCACCAGGGCGAUGAUGGGUAGCCGGCCUGAGAGGGUGAUCGGGCACAAGGGGACUGGGACGCGGCCCUUACUCCUACGUGCGGCAGCAGUGCGGAAUAUAUGACAAUGGACCAAAGUCUGAUCAAGCAAUUCGGUGUGCACGGUGAAUUUUUCGGAAUGUAGAGUGCUUUCAGUUGGGAAGCGGUACCAACAGAAGAAGUGACGGCUAAAUACGUGCCAGCAGCCGCGGUAAUAC